UCGCGGACUGACGGAAUAGGCCGUUAAAGAGGAGGCGUUGAUUUCCGCAGGCAAAUCCGCGGAGAGAGCCGAACUUGAUAGUAUGGAGCGUCCUUCGGGACAAUCCAAUAGCAUGGGUAACCAGACUGCCGAGAAAAUCCGCUAAACAUAAUUCUGAAGGUACCCGUACCGCAAACGGACA
rnacentral:rRNA from 1 species